rnacentral:rRNA from 1 species
CGACCCCUGAUGAUAUUGGGCCUAAGCAUCCGUAGCUGGCUGGACAAGUCCUCUGUUAAAUCCAGCGAUUCAAUCGUUGGCCUGCGGGGGAUACUGCUCGGCUAGGGGGCGAGAGAGGCCGACGGUAUUCUCGGGGUAGGGGUGAAAUCCUAUAAUCCCGGGAAGACCACCAGUGGCGAAGGCUGUCUGCUAGAACGCGCCCGACGGUGAGGGAUGAAAGCUGGGGGAGCGAACCGGAUUAGAUACCCGGGUAGUCCCAGCUGUAAACGAUGCAGGCUAGGUGUUAGGGCGGCUACGUGCCGCUCUAGUGCCGCAGGGAAGCUGUUAAGCCUGCCGCCUGGGGAGUACGGUCGCAAGGCUGAAACUUAAAGGAUUGCGGGGGGGAGCACAAA